CCAGUACCGUGAGGGAAAGGCGAAAAGAACCCCGGCGAGGGGAGUGAAAAAGAACCUGAAACCGUGUACGUACAAGCAGUGGGAGCACGCUUAGGCGUGUGACUGCGUACCUUUUGUAUAAUGGGUCAGCGACUUAUAUUCUGUAGCAAGGUUAACCGAAUAGGGGAGCCGAAGGGAAACCGAGUCUUAACUGGGCGUUAAGUUGCAGGGUAUAGACCCGAAACCCGGUGAUCUAGCCAUGGGCAGGUUGAAGGUUGGGUAACACUAACUGGAGGACCGAACCGACUAAUGUUGAAAAAUUAGCGGAUGACUUGUGGCUGGGGGUGAAAGGCCAAUCAAACCGGGAGAUAGCUGGUUCUCCCCGAAAGCUAUUUAGGUAGCGCCUCGUGAAUUCAUCUCCGGGGGUAGAGCACUGUUUCGGCAAGGGGGUCAUCCCGACUUACCAACCCGAUGCAAACUGCGAAUACCGGAGAAUGUUAUCACGGGAGACACACGGCGGGUGCUAACGUCCGUCGUGAAGAGGGAAACAACCCAGACCGCCAGCUAAGGUCCCAAAGUCAUGGUUAAGUGGGAAACGAUGUGGGAAGGCCCAGACAGCCAGGAUGUUGGCUUAGAAGCAGCCAUCAUUUAAAGAAAGCGUAAUAGCUCACUGGUCGAGUCGGCCUGCGCGGAAGAUGUAACGGGGCUAAACCAU
rnacentral:rRNA from 1 species